rnacentral:rRNA from 1 species
GAUCAUGGCUCAGAUUGAACGCUGGCGGCAGGCCUAACACAUGCAAGUCGAACGGUAACAGGAAGAAGCUUGCUUCUUUGCUGACGAGUGGCGGACGGGUGAGUAAUGUCUGGGAAACUGCCUGAUGGAGGGGGAUAACUACUGGAAACGGUAGCUAAUACCGCAUAACGUCGCAAGACCAAAGAGGGGGGACCUUCGGGCCUCUUGCCAUCGGAUGUGCCCAGAUGGGAUUAGCUAGUAGGUGGGGUAACGGCUCACCUAGGCGACGAUCCCUAGCUGGUCUGAGAGGAUGACCAGCCACACUGGAACUGAGACACGGUCCAGACUCCUACGGGAGGCAGCAGUGGGGAAUAUUGCACAAUGGGCGCAAGCCUGAUGCAGCCAUGCCGCGUGUAUGAAGAAGGCCUUCGGGUUGUAAAGUACUUUCAGCGGGGAGGAAGGGAGUAAAGUUAAUACCUUUGCUCAUUGACGUUACCCGCAGAAGAAGCACCGGCUAACUCCGUG